CUGCUCCUUGAAGUCUUUAAACCACGAUUUGAGGACUUCCAAUAGCUCAGACAUAGUUAUUACAGGAGCUGCUUUCAGAAAAUUCACAAGCCAGCUGAAUUUGGCACAUGUCAAAGUUGAAUUGAACACGGGAAAGAAAACAGACUAAAUCUGAUCAGACAGCAUCAUGUUCACCUGCUUCUAUAACCACCAGAGCAAGUAUAUCCUUUGGUGAUUGGAUCUGUUGCAUUGUUUGCUUGAGAACAACACACACGAAAGACAAGAAACAUCAUAAAAGAGAAACAUUUGAGAGAGCAACUUAUCUAAGGGAGACAGCACCUCAAAAAGGAGAUGACAUUUUGUGCAGAAUAUCUGUCGUAUACUUGAUUGCUAAGGAUGCAGUUUAUCACUCAACAUGCCAUGCUUUCUACUUGAUUAAAACUAAUCUUAAAGCAAAACAAUCUGGUUAUACUGCAGCAAUAGUCAUCUUAUGACAUUGCAUUUUAUCAGCUGAUUGAAGAGAGAGAUAGUGAUCUUAUCUAUAACAAGAAGGCUCUUCUCCAGUCCAAGCUGCUAAAAAGUUAGUCCAUCUUCCCUCAGAUGUAGAAACUGCAAGCUGCUCCAAUAGCAAAUUACAGGCAAGAUUAGAAAAAUACUAUGGUUCUGCAAUUCCAUUCCAUUCAAGGUCAGGUGAUAGUAAUUUGCAGAGGUCAGCUAUUUUUGUGCCCCUGUUUGUGUAGGAGUUUGUCCUUCGGUUGGUAAAGAGGCUUAUAAUUCAGCCAACAAUGAGUAUCAUACUUCAGAAGACAGUCUUAUAAGGUGCUUGACAAUUGUGGAGUGCAUACUAUUGAACAAUUUCAAAAUUGACACCACUGCACAUCAGUCUGGCUGCACAGUUGCACUCUGAGUUUGGGUCUCACAAUUUGAUUGACAUACUACACCUUCAUGGAUUCUGCAUGAAUUACAAUGAGCUGAGGUGGUUUAUCACUGGUGCUGCAAAAACUAAAGUAGAAAGACUCCAGGGACAUAUGUUCAUUCCAAAUGGAAUUGUACCACUUUGUGCUGGUGAAAAUCUCAUCCAUGAAGGAGAUAACAUAGACAUCAACAUAGAGACCUUCCAUUCAAUGGCUAGAGAAGUAUUUUAGGAACAGUCUGCAGAUAGUCCAGCAUCACAAGAAAUAUCACUGAAGUGUGGAAAAGAAAAGUCACUUAUUUUUGAGGGGCAAUCAGAAUAAUUUAUGCAGUGUGCAGCAUUUGAAAAACCUAUCGCAUAUCCAGAAUGGAGUUGCUGUGAAAAAGAACUUGAAAAUAUAAACCCUUGUUGCUUACAAAUGGACCAUGUCUGAGAUCUCUCCUGGUGUCUUAAGACUAUUGCCUUGUGACGUCCUACCAAUUCCAAAUUACAUUGAUGAUGUUCACACUAAAGUGAUUCCAUUUUGGACUGGUUUAAACCGCAAACUUGCAACAGAGAAGUUGCAUAUGCACCUACUGUGGAUGCCAAGCAGCUGACAUGGCCGCAGUUUAUACCACAAUGCUGAAAUUAAGAAAUAGGAAUAGCUCUAGGACAGCAACAUGCGGUUCAGACCUUGUUUGCUGUUGCUCAGCAAGUGAAAUGGAUUCUCCUAAAUGAAAUUUAUACCAAUGUGAUUUGCCUGGGUGGUUUACACAGCCUGUGCUGUUUUGUUGCAUGUUUAGGGAAAUUUUGGGGAGAUGCAGGAUCGCUUGACCUUUUCGUGGAUUCUGAUAUAUAUGCAGCUUGUAUUGCAGAUCAAAUUGGGAGAGUGUGCUGGACAAGCUGUUUCUGCAACAAGGAAGUUGGUAGCAGUAGUGUCUGACAAGAGCGAGGGAAGAAAAAGGAAACCCACAGAGACCUGAAUUGCUUGCACCUCAAUCUAGCCAUCCAAAAGGACAAAUCACUGGCCAAACUCCUACCAUGUGAGGACAGUUUUGAAGAACGUGUCAAAAGAGCAUUUUGGCAAACAAAGGUUUGGAUGUCCUCACACAUAGGCAAACCAGAUAUCGGGUCACUGUUGCCACACGGAUGGAAAAAUGUGGAUGAUGAACUACGUCCUGUAUUGUUCAAGGGCCCAGUGGCAUCUGAGCUUCAACAACACCUUAUUUGUGACUGUGCCAGUCGGGGUCACUGCACAAUCAACUGUCUGUAGUAAGAAUAAUCUUCCCUGCACAGAACUGUGCACAUGCUAAGGCAGUGAAGAUUGUGGUAACCCACACAUUCUUGACAGAGAUCAUAAUGAUGAACAAGAUGAAGAUGAUGACUAGAAAUGUUACCAGCGCUAUUACAUUUAAAUUAUACCUGUAUACGUGUGUUAAUAGAUUUUGUUUUCCUUUUAUAUUGUUGUGAUGCUUUGAGGUCACAAAGAAAUCCAAUUUUGCUUUGAAAUAAUUGUAGUCAUUAAGCUAACAGAAACGAAUGCAAAUAUUUGUAAGUGGUCAUUUUAGUAUGUUGAAGGUGCCAUUGUUUCCCUCUCAAGAACAUAAGAAUGGCCAUAUUGGGUCAGACCAAAGGUCCAUCUAGCCAAGUAUCCUGUUUUCCAACAGUAGCCAAUGUCAGAUGUCCCAAAGGGAAUGAACAGAACAGGUAAUCAAGUGUUCUAUGGUAAUGGCACCACUUGACAGCUCCACAUCAAAUCUCAUCUUAAAGUAGACAUAAAAAGCUUUUUAUGAUGCGUAUGUGUGUGUAGAGAAGUUACCUUAAGCCAACCAGUUUGGUGGGAUCUGAUUCAUGCAGAUUAUUUCCCAAACCUUAAAUAAAAUUACACUGGUAUUAGAAAGGGUCACUUCAAGUUUAACACAAAUAAUCCUUCUUUCUCAUAAGUUCAUUCUUUUUUGUUAUGUGCAUUGGGCCCAUUGCUCAUGCUAAUAUCAAAAUUCAGUUAAAAAUUAGUUCAGUUAGGCCUAAUAUGGGCUAUUUUCCUAGAAGAAGCCCACUAGAAAUAUGUCUGCCUGAUAUAGAUUCCCUGUUUACAAUUACAUUUUGAGAGCCAGAGGCCAGUUUUGAGUCCAUUUAGAGUUUUCCAGGUUGACGUUGUGUUGUAUUCUAGUUUCUUAGGGUGUGUCUACACUGCAAAAAAAGGUGUGCUAGCUAACUCAGGUUAAAAUAUCAGUGAUGAUAUGGCAACUUUUUAAAAUGUUGGUUAGUAGGUGAAGUUAAGGCCUUUACAGGAUUCUGGGAUUGAACUCCAGCUAUAAUCCUGAGAAAAAGCUGAGUUGUCGCCAUGUGUUUGCUGCCUUUAAGGCCAACAGGCUUAUAGUUAUUUCGGCUAUUCCAUUUACCUUUUUUCAAUAUUGGCACAACAUCAGCUUUCUUCCAGUCCUUUAUAAUUUCACCACUUUAACCAGACUUAUUAAAAAUGAACAUGAGCAGUCCAGAGAGCUCCGUAGCCACUUCUUUUAAAACUCUUGGUUAUAAGUUAUCCAGAUCUGUUGAUUGGAAAAGGAAAUUGAGUUAAUACUAUGUUAAAUUAAAAAGGUUCUGACUUAAACUGAUGUUAAAAUAAGUGAAUAUGGAGGUAAGGCAGCCACUCUAUUCUUAAGGUACUAUUUUAUGUCUUACAUACCAGUGAAGUUUGCAAUAUUAACAGCACAUACACAUGAGACUCUCAGAAAUUCUAAUCUCAGUUGUAUGACUUAAAUGCAGAGAGAAGACUUACCUUUGAAUUUCUUGGCUUUUGCUCCAAGUCAAAACCUUCACAUAACUAUUUUAUAUUAACAUAACUAGCUAUUUUAAGAAGCUAAUCCUUAGCUUUAGUAGAUAAGACCUUGUUCUGUACAUACUACUAAUACAGUAACUCCUCACUUAGUCCUUCUAGUUAACGUUGUUAUGUUGCUGAUCAAUUAGAGAACAUGCUCAUUUAAAGUUGUGCAAUGCUCCCUUAUAACGUCGUUU